UACGUAGGGGCGAGCGUUGUCCGGAUUAUUGGGCGUAAAGAGCGUGUAGGCGGCCAGGUAGGUCCGUUGUGAAAACUCGAGGCUCAACCUCGAGCGUCGAUGGAAACCAUCUGGCUAGAGUCCGGAAGAGGAGAGUGGAAAUUCCUGGUGUAGCGGUGAAAUGACGCAGAUAUCAGGAAGAACACCUAUGGCGAAGGCAGCUCUCUGGGACGGUACUGACGCUGAGACGCGAAAGCGUGGGGAGCGAACAGG
rnacentral:rRNA from 1 species